rnacentral:rRNA from 1 species
UUAAACUGAAGAGUUUGAUCCUGGCUCAGAUUGAACGCUGGUGGCAUGCUUAACACAUGCAAGUCGAACGGUAACAGGUCUUAGGAUGCUGACGAGUGGCGGACGGGUGAGUAACGCGUAGGAAUCUGCCCAUUUGAGGGGGAUACCAGUUGGAAACGACUGUUAAUACCGCAUAAUAUCUGUGGAUUAAAGGUGGCUUUCGGGCUGUCGCAGAUGGAUGAGCCUGCGUUGGAUUAGCUAGUUGGUGGGGUAAGGGCCCACCAAGGCUACGAUCCAUAGCUGAUUUGAGAGGAUGAUCAGCCACAUUGGGACUGAGACACG